AUGCUUGGGAACUUGCCUUUGCGAGGGGGAUAACAGUUGGAAACGACUGCUAAUACCGCAUAAUGUCUUCGGACCAAACGGGGCUUCGGCUCCGGCGCAAAGAGAGGCCCAAGUGAGAUUAGCUAGUUGGUAAGGUAACGGCUUACCAAGGCGACGAUCUCUAGCUGUUCUGAGAGGAAGAUCAGCCACACUGGGACUGAGACACGGCCCAGACUCCUACGGGAGGCAGCAGUGGGGAAUAUUGCACAAUGGGGGAAACCCUGAUGCAGCCAUGCCGCGUGUGUGAAGAAGGCCUUCGGGUUGUAAAGCACUUUCAGUUGUGAGGAAAAGUUAGUAGUUAAUACCUGCUAGCCGUGACGUUAACAACAGAAGAAGCACCGGCUAACUCCGUGCCAGCAGCCGCGGUAAUACGGAGGGUGCGAGCGUUAAUCGGAAAUACUGGGCGUAAAGCGCACGCAGGCGGUUUGUUAAGCUAGAUGUGAAAGCCCCGGGCUCAACCUGGGAUGGUCAUAUAGAACUGGCAGACUAGAGUCUUGGAGAGGGGAGUG
rnacentral:rRNA from 1 species